UAUCCCAUAUGGAAAAUUCAACAUUAAUAUUAUAAUAUUUAUUUAUAAAUAAUUAUAAAAAUAGUGUGCAAUUUUUCCAUAUAAGGACAUUGUAAUCUGUUAAUGUAAUAAAUAUUUAUCAUAAGAUUCAAUAAAUAAAAGUUUAUUCAAAUUAGUUAUUUUCCGAUUUCUAAUAUAAAAUAAAUUUAAUUGAAUUUGAUAAAUCAUUGACAGAUUUAUUUAUAUAUAAUGCUUAAAUUCUUAAUUGAAUUUUACAAUAAUUUUUAAAUGUAUUUUCAUUUAUUUAUUUAUUGUAUGCAUUUAUAUGAUUAACAAUGCUAUAGAUUCAGGAUACCUUCGGGACCCGUCUUGAAACACGGACCAAGGAGUCUAACAUAUGUGCAAGUCAUUGGGUAUUUUUAAUAAAACCCAAAGGCAUAAUUAACUUAACUGUUUAAAAAUAUAUAUAUAUAUAUAUAUGGGA
rnacentral:rRNA from 1 species